rnacentral:rRNA from 1 species
CCCUUAGAUGUUCUGGGCCGCACGCGCGCUACACUGACGAAGUCAGCGAGCAUGUCCUACGCCGACAGGUGCGGGGAAUCUUGUCAAACUUCGUCGUGAUGGGGAUUGAUUAUUGAAAUUCUUGAUCAUCAACGAGGAAUCCCUAGUAAGCGCAAGUCAGCAGCUUGCGUUGAUUACGUCCCUGCCCUUUGUACACACCGCCCGUCGCUACUACCGAUUGAAUGGUUUAGUGAGAUCUUCGGAUUGGCGCCACUGCGGCUCAGCAAUGGGCUCGGUGGAUGCCGAAAAGUUGAUCAAACUUGAUCAUUUAGAGGAAGUAAAAGUCGUAACA